AGCGGCCGUGGAGGAGAAGGUGGCGGUUCCCGCUGAGGAGGGUGUUUGUCUUUAAAGCUGACGCUCCGUCCCCCUCCCCGCAGGGAAGGCUGAGGGCGCUGCCGGCGCUGGAGUCCUUGUUGGGGUCCCCGCCCCGGAGCCUCUCUCAGCGGCACAUUCUGUGACUCAACAUAGUGUCACCUGAGAAAACAACCCAGACCCCGGUCAGGACCAGGACCAAAUGGCUGCUUCUCAGGGUAGGAUCCCUAAGCCUGGCCGGCAAUCAGGGCUGAUCUGUGGGGUGACUGAUGAGGCAAUUGGUAAGUCCCUGCUGCCACCCGCCUUGGCUUGCGGCCUGGGCCUGCCUGAUGGCCAUCCCUGCCCCCUGCUGCCAAAACCACGGGUCCCCUCCCUCUCAAGGGUCAGAUGCUCUACUCAGGACA